GGGUGGGUGUUGAUGCUUGUAUAGAAACGUAUGAUUGUACAAGAAUGUGUUUUUUUGUGCUCUAAAAUCCUCUGAAUCAUGACAGAAAAGAUGUGAAAGCAUUUAAAGUUGGGGAUAUUAUUUAAAUACUUCAGGGUGUGAAAAACAAUGGUUCAUACAAGAGGAUCAAGUCUACAGUCCCUAACCUGGAAUAAAUCCCUCCUAAUUGUGGUAUAUUGUACCUCCCCAGCCUCUUCCUUCAGCACAGCCUACCUCAAGGGCCCAGGGAUGGGAUCUCACCAACCUAUUUGCUAUACGAAACAUGAAAAGCUCUUUCCAGUUUCUAUGCUCUUGCAAAUAUUGUUUCCAUUUUCAAUUAAGGAAACUACUUGUCUUUCAAGUUCCUGCUCAUGAUUUUUCUCCACAAUGAAACCCUCCAUGCCUAUAGGAAGCAGAAUUUCUUCCACCUGUAUUGCUUAUACCAAUAACAUCACCUCUCAAGUUGCGUUGA